CUGCCAUGUUAUCCCAGCUGCACACAGAUCACUGAUAUGAAUGUGAACACUGAUUUUUUAUUAUUAUUAAUUUAAAUAGGUAAGCUAACCUAGUGGUUGUGAUAAAUUACCUGAUAUAAUUAGCUAUCCAGUUAGCUUACCUGUUCAGGAGAAAAAAAUGCAAGCUUGGCAUCGGUCUUGUAGUCUUUUUGAGCUCUAAAGCUCAAUUCAUACAUCGAACCUAUGCAGUAGCCAACAUUUAUCCAGUGAGAGUGCGCUACAACAGUUAUAAAGCAGAAGUGGUCACUGCCAUGUUGACUGACUGUAGAUCCUGUCUAAGAGACUGUUCACAUUCAGAGCAGUGCUUAACCUGGUAAGUGCUUUUUAUUGUUUUUUAAGUCUAUUAUUUGUACUAUACUAAGAUUAAUCACAUGUG
rnacentral:lncRNA from 1 species